CCAAUCAGUGUUUAUUUAAAACAUGAUUCACAGAAUACCGACAAUUCUCCUGUACCAGUGUUGUAAUUAAUACAGUUUCCUGUGUGAUUAUUUGGGUCCUGGGUGGCUGGGGAAUGAUCAAGCAGCUUCCACCUUUAGCAUCCAGUCCAUGUUGAAAUCUCUCAAACUGUGUCUUACAAUCCAUGUCACAGGGAUGGAGAGAUGGCGCAGCAGGUCAAAGUGCAUACUGCCAUUACAGAGGACCCAUGUUCAGUUCCCAGCACCCACAUCAUACUGUUCACAACCACCUUGAGUCUCCAGUACAACACUGUUCCUGAGGAGACAUGAGAAACAUCUACUCACCCAGGAUAGGGUACCAGUCCAAGUGGACAGAGAUCGUAUCCCACAACCCAAUAAUCCGAACGAGCAGCCGGCAAAAAAGAGGAAGGAAAAAAGGGGUGGACACAGACUCUGCAUCCGUGUUUAUAGUAUAAGAGGCUACGCCCCAGUAGGCAGACACUGAUGACCUUUGGUCCUGCCCCAGACAAAAUCUCCGUUGGAGGAAGAUUACUAUGCUCAGCUGUGGAUUGACAUCUGGUGCAAUGAAACAGCCCCUCUUCCCAGACUGCAUCUGCAGCGUGAACUGCCAAGGGAGCUGAUGCAGAAGACACUUCAAGUUCAUGUGGAGUGGUCAAGUGGUACAGGAAGUAAGACUCGGAAAACCUGUCAUUGUGAGCGGAUGCUAACACUGUGGAGUAUCUGCCAAAUUUAUAAAAUUUCUCACUGUUUUGUCUAGUGGCCUCCUUUAGAUUUACAUAAUAUGUAACAAUGUAGCCUUCAGAAUUGUACCAAACAGAGAAUAAUGAUUUCUGCUAAUAAAAGUCUAAUUUAAGAAAGUUC